CUAAAAUCAACCUGCUUUUCUCACCGCAGUGUAAUCCAAAUCUUCAAGCUUCAGAAAACCGUGGGUCCUGAAAUUGCGGAAAAUGAUCUGGCUCCUGCUUUCCAAAACCUGUUGAAAGAUUGUGAGUCUGAAGUGUGAGCAGCUGGGGCCAACAAAGUUAAAGGUACUUGUGUCUGACACCAAUCAACAUGUGAAGUCAGCUCUGGCCUCUGUUAUUAUGGGCUUGUCCACCAUCCCAGGCAAGGACAGCACUGUUGAGCACCUGCUUCCCCUGUUCUUGGCUCAG